rnacentral:tRNA from 1 species
UCCUCGAUAGCUCAAUGGUAGAGCACUCGGCUGUUAACCGAGUUCUUGUAGGUUCGAGCCCUACUCGGGGAG